GAUGAACGCUAGCGGCAGGCCUAAUACAUGCAAGUCGGACGGGAUUCAGGAGCUUGCUUCUGAUGAGAGUGGCGCACGGGUGCGUAACACGUAUGUAACCUACCUUUAUCAGGGGGACAGCCUCUCGAAAGAGAGAUUAAGCCCGCAUAAAAUCACAGCACAGCAUUGUGUAAUGAUCAAAUAUUUAUAGGAUAAAGAUGGGCAUGCGGAACAUUAGCUAGAUGGCGGGGUAACGGCCCACCAUGGCGACGAUGUUUAGGGGAUCUGAGAGGAUGGCCCCCCACACUGGUACUGAGACACGGACCAGACUCCUACGGGAGGCAGCAGUAAGGAAUAUUGGUCAAUGGGCGGAAGCCUGAACCAGCCAUGCCGCGUGCAGGAAGACGGCCCUACGGGUUGUAAACUGCUUUUAUACGGGAAUAAACCCAGAUACGUGUAUCUGGCUGAAUGUACUGUAAGAAUAAGGAUCGGCUAACUCCGUG
rnacentral:rRNA from 1 species